AUAGCAUAGAUCAUGUAUACAUGGUUAAAUAUGUCUGUAAAACAUUCUAUCAGUAGCACGAGACACUCAGCCACCACUAAUCCAUGUUCACUAUUACUAAAUAUAUGUUCUAACUGAUGAUCCAAUUACAUCAGGUUAAUCCUAGAAAAGCACAUUCAUGCUGAAUGAUUCAGACACUAAUCUUCCUUACAGUGAAGCAAUGUUCAGUCGCCUUUCUAAUAUAAUAUAUAAAGACAAAUGGUGAGAUAAGGCGACGGCUUGAGCUUUCCACCAUGAUCUCCAGAUGGCAAAAGCUAACGAUUUAAUAUUGAAUCACAGUUAUAACUUUUAAUUUUCGUAAAGGUACUCUAGUUCAUGAAUAACAAUCUUUUGAGUGGCCUGUGAAGUGUGUCAUUCGACACAACCAAGUUAGAACAUUGGCCAUAUCAAGUGCUACCAACCAACUGGACCAACUCCUUGUAGCAUCUUCUGAAAUUAAUUUUCCUAAGACCAGGUACCUGCUUAACCCCAAGACAAAAAACUAUGAAUAGAAUAAUUUUUGCAUGGGAGCUAUAGACUACUUUUUAUGUUUUUAUUCUCGAGUUAUUUUUAUUAAUCAGCUAAUGAUCCUUAAAAGUUUACGGAUUAAUAAUUUGAAAUCCUAAAUAUGUAGAAAAUAAUUGGUAUUUAAAGAAUUUCUCAAGUGAAUAAUUCCCUUGGACAAGAUUUCUACCAUAACCAAAUCAUCUUCUCCCAUCUAAAUGGGGUCAGCAUGUACAAAGCUAAAAAUCCACCAAAUCAAAUACUAAGAUGAAAAUACAACAGGGCACAAAUUCAUGUAAUCAGGAAUUCUACAAUAUUUUUCAGCUCAUGAUAAUUCAAAGGCACUGAUAUGCUCGUAGUGUUUAUCUGUCUCAUAUUGUAAUUGAUCUGUCAAACUGCUAUAAUUCUCUAACCAUGUAGCAGAUAACAUCUCAGGAGAUUUACUAAUCUAGAAUAUUUUAUUUAAAAAUAUAUUUCGAUAAAUCGUGAUGAAAUCCUGAUCCCUAGUAUCUAUUGCAAUGAUCAGAAUCCAUUUAUGAGUUGAAAAAAAUAUUGCUUAUGCAGAUGAUGUGUCUCGAAGAGAGUAAAUUAUAUGACCAGAAACAAAAGAAGAAUGAGAAUGUUCUCUUUCUUUUAAAGGUUUUCUUCUUUCCCCUCAGAAGGAAGAGGAAGGGGGGGGGGAGGGGGUGUUUGGGGUGGGG
rnacentral:lncRNA from 1 species